rnacentral:lncRNA from 1 species
NNNNNNNNNNNNNNNNCCCGGCGUGUGCAUCCCCCCCCGGGGGGGUGGGUGUGCAAAUGCGUGUGUGUGCGCGGUCCUGCAGCCCCAGCGGGCACACGCACACACACACACACGCACACACACACGCAUGCACGCCCUGAGCAGGCUGCAGCCCCUGGUGCAAUGCUCAAGCACACGCGUGCACACGCAGACACACCCGCAGAGGCUGCGGCGCCCCGCACGCACACGCGUGCACACGCAGUCCCGCAGGGAAUGCAGCAGCUGGUGCGCGUGUGCAAGUGCACAAACACCCACACAAAUGCGCGCAUGCGUGCACAAACACGUAUGUGUGCAUACGUAAGCACAUGCUCCUGCAGGGAAGGAUUGCACGCGUGCAAGUGCGCACACACGCACAAACACUGGCAGAGGCUGCAGCCCCAGCGUGCGCACACACCGUGCACACACACACAGCAUGCACACACGCACCGUGCACACACACACAUGCACGCAUGCUCAUGCAUGCACACGCUUGCUCACACGUGCACAGACACCCCUGCAGGAAGGGACUGCAGCCCCCUGCGUGCACACACAUACACACAUGGACCUGCACACACACACACUCCAUGCACAUGUGCACACCCUUGCUCACAUGCACACACGCAUCCCUGCAGGGAAGGUCUGCAGCCCUGCUGCGUGCACGUGCAUGCACACACAUGUGCACACAUGUACCUGCAUGCACAGACUGCACACACACACACGCACACCCCUGCAGGGAGGCACUGCAGCCCCCUGCAUGCACACACACGUGUACACACACGUACCUGCAUGCACACACACGUGCACACCCUUGCUCACACGCAUGCACACCCCUGCAGGGAGGCACUGCAGCCCCCUGCAUGCACACACACGUGUGCACACACGUACCUGCAUGCACACACACACACGUGCACACCCUUGCUCACACGCACACCCACCCCUGCAGGGAGGCACUGUAGCCCCCUGCCUGCACCCCCCGACACCGCCCCCCCCAUGCAGGCACUGCAGCCCCAGCAC